rnacentral:lncRNA from 1 species
GCAUGCAUACACGUACAGGGAAACCACGAGGGACUCGGUUGCUGCCUUGCACGUGCCAUAUGGUGGCCACUUUGGCAUCACGUGGAUGGCACCACACGGCUUCUUCGUAUGUCCGUAGUCUGACGGGACUCAUUAGAUUGUACACGUCAUAUCGAUAAUUUAAACGUAUAGAUAGAUUCUGAGUCCAUAAAAGCAAGCAUGCAAGACAGAAGCAAAUGUACAAAGUUGGUUCCGCUUCGG